UACGAAGGGUGCAAGCGUUACUCGGAAUUACUGGGGCGUAAAGCGUGCGUAGGUGGUUUGUUAAGUCUGUUGUGAAAGCCCCGGGCUCAACCUGGGAAUGGCAAUGGAUACUGGCAAGCUAGAGUGCGGUAGAGGGUAGUGGAAUUCCCGGUGUAGCGGUGAAAUGCGUAGAGAUCGGGAGGAACACCAGUGGCGAAGGCGGCUACCUGGACCAGCACUGACACUGAGGCACGAAAGCGUGGGGAGCAAACAGG
rnacentral:rRNA from 1 species